rnacentral:rRNA from 1 species
UACGUAGGGUGCAAGCGUUGUCCGGAAUUAUUGGGCGUAAAGAGCUCGUAGGCGGUUCGUCACGUCGGCUGUGAAAUCCCGAGGCUCAACCUCGGGUCUGCAGUCGAUACGGGCGGACUGGAGUACUGCAGGGGAGACUGAAAUUCCUGGUGUGGCGGUGAAAUGCGCAGAUAUCAGGAGGAACACCGGUGGCGAAGGCGGGUCUCUGGGCAGUAACUGACGCUGAGGAGCGAAAGCGUGGGGAGCGAACAGG